UGUCUCCCUAUAUAAACCUUAGUUUUUCUCUCCUCCUGGCUCUCCCCAAGGCCAUUUGCUCACUCCUUCAUCCAUUUUCUCUACUUGGAAAGAAAAAAAAACAAUGGCAAGAAUGAAGCUUAUGGGUCUUGCUUUAGCAAUACUGAUGAUGGUGAGUUGCUGCUUGGCUGCAAAUAGAAAGGUUAUAAAAGUAGAAGACGAGGUCAAGCAUGGACGAACCAUGCUUGAUAAUGGUGGCACUUUCACAGCCAGCUAUCCGUCAAGCGGUGUGGACAACCAUCAUCAUCUUCCUAGGCAGGAUUUCAAUAACUAUCCCGGCGGCAGUGGUAGCGGAGAUGGAAGCGGGUGAAAUAAUCUGAGCAGUACUGGUAUAUGAUGAUGGUAUAUGAAAUAAUUAUCGAUGACGAUAAUGUUAUAUUUCGUGCUUAAUUAGGUGUUUCUAGAUAUAUCUAUGAGAUCUAAUCAAAUUAGCUUCUAUGUA